UCUAACUCCGGGCCAGCAGGCGGGGUAAGACUGAGGAUGCAAGCGUUAUCCGGAUUCAUUGGGUUUAAAGGGUGCGUAGGCGGAAUACUAAGUCAGUAGUGAAAUCCUGCAGCUUAACUGUAGAACUGUUAUUGAUACUGGUAUUCUUGAAUGCAGUUGAGGUAGGCGGAAUGUGUAAUGUAGCGGUGAAAUGCUUAGAUAUUACACAGAACACCGAUUGCGAAGGCAGCUUACUAAACUGUGAUUGACGCUGAGGCACGAAAGCGUGGGGAGCAAACAGGAUUAGAUACCCUAGUAGUC
rnacentral:rRNA from 1 species